ACGGGUGAGUAACACGUAGGUAACCUGCCUAUGAGACUGGGAUAACUAUCGGAAACGAUAGCUAAGACCGGAUAACUGGUUUUCUCGCAUGAGAGAACCAUGAAACACGGAGCAAUCUGUGGCUUAUAGAUGGGCCUGCGGCGCAUUAGCUAGUUGGUAGGGUAACGGCCUACCAAGGCGACGAUGCGUAGCCGACCUGAGAGGGUGAACGGCCACACUGGGACUGAGACACGGCCCAGACUCCUACGGGAGGCAGCAGUAGGGAAUCUUCCGCAAUGGACGCAAGUCUGACGGAGCAACGCCGCGUGAGUGAUGAAGGUUUUCGGAUCGUAAAGCUCUGUUGCCCUAGACGAACAGCAAGGAGAGUAACUGCUCUUUGUGUGACGGUAUAGGAGAAGAAAGCCCCGGCUAACUACGUGCCAGCAGCCGCGGUAAUACGUAGGGGGCAAGCGUUGUCCGGAAUUAUUGGGCGUAAAGCGCGCGCAGGCGGUUAAUUAAGUUGGGUGUUUAAGCCCGGGGCUCAACCCCGGUUCGCAUCCAAAACUGGUUGACUUGAGUGUAGGAGAGGAAAGUGGAAUUCCACGUGUAGC
rnacentral:rRNA from 1 species